rnacentral:tRNA from 1 species
AGUUAAUUAGCUAUAUAUAAGUUUUUACCUUGAAAGUAAAAUGAAAGAGAAUUAAUUCUCUAUUAACUU